GAUGAACGCUAGCGGCAGGCUUAAUACAUGCAAGUCGAGGGGCAGCAGGGUGUAGCAAUACAUCGCUGGCGACCGGCAAACGGGUGCGGAACACGUACACAACUUUCCUUUAAGUGGGGGAUAGCCCAGAGAAAUUUGGAUUAAUACCCCGUAAUAUUAUGAAGUGGCAUCAUUUUAUAAUUAUAGCUCCGGCGCUUGAAGAUGGGUGUGCGGCUGAUUAGGUAGNGGUCGGGGGUAACGGCCCACCAAGCCUACGAUCAGUAACUGGUGUGAGAGCACGACCAGUCACACGGGCACUGAGACACCGGGCCCGACUCCUACGGGGAGGCAGCAGUAAGGAAUAUUGGUCAAUGGACGCAAGUUCUGAUCCAGCCAUGCCGCGUGAGUGAU
rnacentral:rRNA from 1 species